UUAGCUUAGUGGUAGAGCGUCCGCUUCGUAAACAGAAGGUCGUCAGUUCAAUCCUGGCA
rnacentral:tRNA from 1 species